AUGGCUCUUUCUGAUGAGCGAAUCACACUAUGGGCCAUAUGGGCGGCCAGGAGGAAAAUAAUCCAUGAAGGAAUUUACAAAACUCCAUUCUCAACUCAUGGUUUUAUCACUAGCUAUUUGGCUGAUUUGAAGCACAUACAGAAACCUGUUGACAGAUCACUGACAACUCCAAGAGUCCGCCCUACUACUUGGCAGCCACCACCUGAUGAUCAUGUCAAAAUUAAUGUUGAUGCGGCUGUGCCGCGUGCUGGCGGAAGGGGGGUUGUCGGAGUUGUUUGCCGCAAUGCAUCGGGUGUGUUUUGGGGGGCCUCAACAGUUAUCUUCAACAACAUUGAGGACCCGAAGGUGCUUGAAGUUCUAGCUACCAGGGAAGCACUGGCACUUGCUGACGACCUGUACGAGCAGAAAGUUUUCAUCGCCUCGGACUGCAUAGCUGCGGUGGAGGCGAUCAAAGGAGGAACAGCAGCAGCAUACAGAGCAGUGGUACAUGAAAUAACGGAUAGAUCGUUUUUCUCCUCUUGUACCUUUAGUCAUGAAUUUCGGAUCUCGAACUUUGAGGCCCACAACCUCGUGAACCAUGCAUUAACGUUGGGGACUGGCCGCCAUGUUUGGUUAUGCCACCUCGGCGAUCUUUUGUUCGUCCCUGUAAACAUUGUGACGGUUGAAUAA
rnacentral:rRNA from 1 species